AGAGUUUGAUCAUGGCUCAGGAUGAACGCUGGCGGCGUGCUUAACACAUGCAAGUCGAACGGGAAUUACAUUUUAGCUUGCUAAGUUGUAAUUCUAGUGGCGGACGGGUGAGUAACGCGUGGGUAACCUGCCUUAUACCGGGGGACAACAGUUGGAAACGACUGCUAAUACCGCAUAAGCGCACAGCCUCGCAUGAGACGGUGUGAAAAAACUCCGGUGGUAUAAGAUGGACCCGCGUCUGAUUAGCCAGUUGGCGGUGUAACGGACCACCAAAGCGACGAUCAGUAGCCGGCCUGAGAGGGUGAACGGCCACAUUGGGACUGAGACACGGCCCAAACUCCUACGGGAGGCAGCAGUGGGGAAUAUUGCACAAUGGAGGAAACUCUGAUGCCAGCGACGCCGCGUGAGUGAAGAAGUAUUUCGGUAUGUAAAGCUCUAUCAGCAGGAAAGAAAAUGACGGUACCUGACUAAGAAGCCCCGGCUAACUACGUGCCAGCCGCCGC
rnacentral:rRNA from 1 species